AGAGUUUGAUCCUGGCUCAGAACGAACGUUGGCGGCGUGGAUUAGGCAUGCAAGUCGAACGAAUCCCGGGGGGCAACCCCCGGGGGAAGUGGCGAAAGGGGCAGUAAGGCAUGGGUAACCUACCCCGGGGACCGGCAUAGCCUCCCUAACGGGAGGGUAAUUCCGGGUAUGGUCGUUGGGGGGCAUCCCCCGGCGAUGAGAUGAGUUUCGCCCCGGGAGGGGCCCAUGUAGUAUUAGCUCGUUGGCGGGGUAACGGCCCACCAAGGCGAAGAUGCUUAGCGGGUGUGAGAGCACGACCCGCGCCACUGGCACUGAGACACUGGCCAGACUCCUACGGGAGGCUGCAGUCGAGGAUCUUCGGCAAUGGGCGCAAGCCUGACCGAGCGACGCCGCGUGGAGGACGAAGGCCUUCGGGUUGUAAACUCCUGUCGAGGGGGAGGAAGCCCGCAAGGGUUGACCUAUCCCUGGAGGAAGCACGGGCUAAGUUCGUGCCAGCAGCCGCGGUAAGACGAACCGUGCGAACGUUGUUCGGAAUCACUGGGCUUAAAGGGCGCGUAGGCGGCCCCGCCAGUCCUGGGUGAAAGCUCCCGGCCCAACCGGGAAAGUGCCCGGGAUACUGCGGGGCUCGAGCGAGGCAGGGGCGGGGGGAACUUCCGGUGGAGCGGUGAAAUGCGUUGAUAUCGGAAGGAACGCCGGUGGCGAAAGCGCCCCGCUGGGCCUCUCCUGACGCUGAGGCGCGAAAGCCAGGGGAGCAAACGGGAUUAGAUACCCCAGUAGUCC
rnacentral:rRNA from 1 species